GUGGAGCAUGUGGCUUAAUUUGACUCAACGCGGGAAAUCUUACCGGGUCCGGACACACUGAGGAUUGACAGACAGUAUUCAUGCCGACUGAAUUUCGACAUAUUUCAAAUGUGCGAGUUCUUUCAUGAUUGUGUGAUAGGUGGUGCAUGGCCGUUCUUAGUUCGUGGAGUGAUCUGUCUGCUUAAUUGCGUUUCAUAUUUACGAAUGUCGCUUACGUGAUUGCUGCAGACCUCGUCUCUUUAUUGAGUGCGACGCGUCUCUUCAACUCACUCGCACAUUCUCUUGAACGCAACGAGCGUGACCGCAACCUCUUGUUGUGUAUACCAAGUGUGUCGUUGCUUGCAACUCACACUCCAAUGCACGUAUUUUGGUCACAUUGUCUCGGCCGUCGCGCGCAGCCUCGGCUGUGUCGGCGCCAGCAAUGUCCAAAUAAACUUGAGGGACCGCUGUAACAAUUCUUUUAAACCAGAGGAAGGUUGCGGCAAUAACAGGUCUGUGAUGCCCUUAGAUGUCCCGGGCUGCACACGUGCUACAAUGAUCAGUACAGUGAGCAUCUUUGCAAUACCAGCGUUUGGAGGCCUGGCCAAGUCACUUGUGACUCGGCUUGCAGUCUCUACGUUGCCUUCCCAAGUCUGACAAGAUUUGGAAAUCCAUUGGAAGUCCUGAAUCAAUCCCUAUUGAGCAUUUUUCUCUACAGUGGCGCCAGACUUCGUCCCAUGUCGGUUCGCCUGACUUGUGCGGCACUUGGCGUCUACUAUAUGCAAUUGUCAAUUCAUAGUGGGGACAGACGAUUGUUAAUUGUUCGUCUCGGUCUCAACUAGGAAUGCCUUGUACGGGUCUUUGGUUCACCAGACCACCCGGAAUACGUCCCUGCCCUUUGUACACACCGCCCGUCGCUCUUACCGAUGAACUUCUCUGUGAGUUUGAGGGACCGUCAAUUGUGUGGCAACACACGACGCUAUGGAAACUUAAACGAACAGUGUGAUUUAAAG
rnacentral:rRNA from 1 species